AACAACGUUCUCAAAUCACUCACAAAUGCUCAAACCGCCUCGGAUUGGGUCAACAAAUAUGUAAAAGCAUACUCAAUCGUCAAAAUCAAAUACAUUGCCGUUGGCAAUGAAGUUCACCCGGGUUCAGCCGAAUCAAGUUCAGUUCUUCCUGCAAUGCAAAACAUUCAAAAAGCAAUAUCUUCAGCAAAUUUACAAGGCCAAAUUAAAGUGUCUACCGCGAUAGACACAACACUAAUUGGAAAAUCUUACCCACCAAAAGACGGUGUUUUUAGUGACGCUGCAAGUGGUUACAUAAAGCCUAUUGUUAACUUCUUAGUUAGCAACGGUUCGCCACUUCUUGCUAAUGUGUACCCUUAUUUCGCGUAUGUAAAUAACCAACAA
rnacentral:lncRNA from 1 species